ACGCUCGACACCUACUGGAGGCAGCAGUCGGGAAUAUUGCGCAAUGGAGGAAACUCUGACGCAGUGACGCCGCGUAUGGGAAGAAGGUUUUCGGAUUGUAAACCAUUUUAGACAAGGAAGAAACAAGACAGUACUUGUAGAAUAAGCUCCGGCUAACUACGUGCCAGCAGCCACGGUAAUCUGAGCGGGCUGGCAAGGC
rnacentral:rRNA from 1 species